CAGAUACCAGAAUAAGGGAUGCAGGUCAGCCAGAUCUAUUAUACUUGACCUAUUAAAGAAGUCUUGGAAGGAGGGAAAGGCCAGUCUGUUCUACGAAAUUACAUAAAGAAUUAAUAGGUCCUGCAUUAGUGGCAAAUUGAAAGGG